CCACAAAAAUCAGAGCACCCGAUGCGUGUAAAACUCCCUUCUGGGAGAUACUGGUACUCUGGAGCACAGCAAAGGGAGAGUGUGAAGAUGGCACCCACCAAAAAGGGGAAAAAAAGGAG